CUCAAAUAAACUUGCUCACACCGAAAGUCACACAUGAAAUAAGGAUACACUCUGGUGCUGGGCAUCCCACGAGCAGGACACAUGUUUCUUAUACAGGACGCUGUGACAUCUUCUCAGAAGUGAGAAAUAAGGAACAAGUAUCUGGGGCAGAGAACUUCCUUAUGCUUAUGGUGGAAAAAUAUCAGGUACUUCUUAAAAUGUGUGUGACCUUAUAAAACCACAGGGAUGCUUCACCUGAUCUAUAUCCUGCUGGUGUGUGGUCUGCCUGGCUCCAGGACUGCUCUUGUAUAUAAUGAG